GUUUGAUCCUGGCUCAGAUUGAACGCUGGCGGCAUGCUUUUACACAUGCAAGUCGAACGGCAGCACGGGUGCUUGCACCUGGUGGCGAGUGGCGGACGGGGUGAGUAAUGCAUCGGAACGUGUCCUAAAGUGGGGGAUAACGCAUCGAAAGAUGUGCUAAUACCGCAUAUUCUCUGAGGAGGAAAGUAGGGGAUCGAAAGACCUUAUGCUUUUGGAGCGGCCGAUGUCUGAUUAGCUAGUUGGUAGGGGUAAUGGCUUACCAAGGCGACGAUCAGUAGUUGGUCUGAGAGGACGACCAGCCACACUGGGACUGAGACACGGCCCAGACUCCUACGGGAGGCAGCAGUGGGGAAUUUUGGACAAUGGGGCGCGAAGCCUGAUCCAGCAAUGCCGCGUGAGUGAAGAAGGCCU
rnacentral:rRNA from 1 species